AUGCGUACUCAGUCCGCUCCUUUAUAUUCUCUACACGUACGAUUGUGUCGCUACUCACCCUAGUAAUAGGGUUGUCAAAUUUGCAGAUGACACAACCGUGAUUGGGCUCAUCCCUGAAAGGGAGGGUGAAACGGAUUAUAGAGAUGAGGUGGAGCGGCUGACAGAGUGGUGCAGAGCUAACAACUUGCUCAUAAAUACAAGGAAGACAAA